GACGAACGCUGGCGGCAUGCCUAAUACAUGCAAAUCGAACGAAGCCUUUUGGCUUAGUGGUGAACGGGUGAGUAACACGUAUCCAAUCUACCCUUAAGUUUGGGAUAACUAGUCGAAAGAUCAGCUAAUACCGGAUAAUAACAUUCACUUGCAUGAGUGAAUGUGGAAAGUUGCGUUUGCAACGCUUUUGGAUGAGGGUGCGACGUAUCAGAUAGUUGGUGAGGUAACGGCUCACCAAGUCAUUGACGCGUAGCUGUACUGAGAGGUAGAACAGCCACAAUGGGACUGAGACACGGCCCAU
rnacentral:rRNA from 1 species